rnacentral:rRNA from 1 species
AUUGAACGCUGGCGGCAGGCCUAACACAUGCAAGUCGAGCGGAGCGGCGGACGGGCGAGUAAUGCCUAGGAAUCUGACCGGCAGUGGGGGCUAGCGUACGGAAACGGGAGCUAAUACCGCAUACUAUCAGAUGAGCCUAGGUCGGAUUAGCUAGUUGGUUGGGGAAAGGCCUACAAAGGCGACGAUCCAUAACUGGUCUGAGAGGAUGAUCAGUCACCCUGGAACUGAGACACGGUCCAGACUCCUACGGGAGGCAGCAGUGGGGAAUAUUGGACAAUGGGCGAAAGCCUGAUCCAGCCAUGCCGCGUGUAUGAAGAAGGUCUUCGGGUUGUAAAGCACUUUAAGUUGGGAGGCGUUACCAACAGAAUAAGCACCGGCUAACUCCGUGCCAGCAGCCGCGGUAAUAC